AAAGAUUAUGGACCGAUGGACCGAAGGUUUAUAAUUCUCGUGGUCUUAAAAAAACGUAAGUUCGGUUUAACAUUUCUCGGGUUAAAUUUCGUUUUGUUUUCUUACUGAUUAGAUGUUAAAAAAAAGACAGUAAAUACCUAGAGGGAAAGCUAAAGGGAAAGUACAUAUUUGUCAUAAUUAUGUGAAUUGUUGGUCGUUAAAAAAAUGUGAAUUGUUGUUGAAGUGAAGGGUGUCACAGGGAAAAAAAUGAGAAAUGAUGUAGCCACCCAUGUAGGGAAAGGGCCUGCCUACCACUUCGAGAGAUGUUCAAUUUUUUUUCAUUUUCUUUUUGGUUAAUUAGGAAUACUUGUAUAUACAGAGGAAUUGAACUGGAAGUUCGGCAUUUUAUGUACCCAUCAAUCCAUCAUGUGUUUUGGCUUUAUACACAGUUGUUUUUCAUUUGUCUUUUCUCACUUCAAUUAUUUUGCUUAAUAGAUAUUUUAAUGUUUUUUACAAUAGUAUAGUAUGUUUUAAUAUUUUUUUUUUGUUUUUCUCCCACCAUUGUUUCGCCUCUCUAAAAACGAAAAGAAAUGUGCAUUGUUCUACUGGCUAGGUUGUUGGUAUUUUAAAUAAAAUAUUUUAACAUAUUAAAUAGUUACCAUUAGUAAGACCACUAGAUCAUUUAUUCUAUUGCUCUCAAAUGAAAGUUAGAAUUCGAUACGGAGAUUAUCCUUUCCUUUUACUGUUUUCUAAUAUCUCUUUAUGUUCGUACCAUUUUGACUUUCGCACACAGAAAAGAAUUAAAUACAAAAUUGUGAGGAUUUGUUAUAAUGUAAUAGGACUGGGAUCCGGGUCUUUGAUCCGGGCUCGAGUUGGUUCCUUCUUUUUCAUUUGAAUUCUUCGCGUUUUAGAUAUUUAGAUUUGACUAAAGUAUUUAGAUGUAUAAGAUAUCCGGGUCUUUCGCCAUGUUUCCAACUUAUAUAUUAUGUAUUUAGUUGUAUAUGUACAAGCACAUGUUCGUGCAUCACAUAAGUGCAUAUGUAACCACAUAUAUAUAAUAUUGUUUUUGCUCUAAAACAUUUAUAUUAUCUGUCGACACAUGUAACAUAUCCAUCAAACAACUUCGACCUCUACAAAUACGCUUUUUAUAACUACAAAAUACCCUUUUUUGGGACCAAUCGCUAAAUAUCCGUACAAUAUCAAAUAUUUUAAAAUUACCAACAAAGCAUAUAUAUAAAACAGGUAAGAUUGAUGGAUAAAGCGUGGGCCAUGCAUUUCUCACGUACAAGAAAUAGUUGUUAUUUAUUUAAUUAAUUGGCACUAAUCUAACUACUCUUAAGUCUCUUAUGGGUCAUGCCUAAAGGAGUCAAAUUAAACAAUGCGUGCGAAACCGCAGCCAAACAUAUGAAAGACAACUCUUAAACGUAUCUGAAUAAAAAUCCUAACAAAUAUUUAUAUUGAUAUAAUUUAGUGAAAAGUUAAAAUUGCCGACAAAUUAAUUAAUAAGUUAAAUUAAUAUAGAAUUAAUCGGGAUGGGAUAGUUAGGUCAAGUUUGAUUCUUAGUUCUUUAGAUGCUUCUAUGUGUUUGGAUGACUUCUUACUAUUGCCACAUCACUACAUGAUUAUAAUUACACACGUAUAAUUUUCAUAACUAUUUUAGUACGUAUAAUUAAAAGUGUCAUUUUCUCUUGUUUAGAAAAUAUCAUUAUUUUUGCAUUAAGUCCUAUAUAUAAGUGUAACUAACUAAUAAACUUUGUGUCAAUAAAGUAUUUCAAUCUUUUUGGCCAAAAUCUAUGACGCAUCAUAAGUUCAUAACUCUAGGUAUGUUUAAAAAAAAAAAAAGCUCUUUCUUAACCCAAAAAAAACUCGGGAAAACAUAAUGCAAAAAGCUAAUAACACGUACUAUCUAAUAAAACGAAAAUUAGAAGAUAAGGGUAUAUAUCGAAAGUAACAAAUAAGAUUCUAAGAAUGCAAGUUGACCAAUCAAUUAUCAAAACAAUAGACGAUUACAUAAGUUCAAAAAAAGAAGAAAAAUAAUAGACGACAGAUAGGACAUAGGAGUAAGAAAAGGGAUAAUUUUUACAGAUUGAGACAGCCAAAAUAAUUCCAAACCGUUACAUGUCAAUCUCACUCACCUUCAUUUUAACAUUUUGUUGUGUUUUUUUUUUUUUAAAUUGUAGUUGUAACGUAACCUUUUUUAUAUGUUAACAUAAUCCGAGUUCCAAAAAACCAUUCCCGGCUUUCACGUACUUUUUAUACUCCACGUAUUGCAAAAUUAUAUCCAAUAUUGUAGCAAUUUGAGAUAAAAAAAAAUAUUGUAGCAAUUUUAUAUUUUCGGAUAUUCUCACUUAAUUACCGAGAGGAGUAUAAGUUUAUCAAAAUUAAGUUAAUUAACUCAUCGCACUCUUUAUUAAAGAAGGGAUAAGAGUGAAAUUAUUAUCUUUUCAUAACUUAAUUUGACUCGGAUUAUGUUAACAUAUAAAAAA
rnacentral:lncRNA from 1 species